rnacentral:rRNA from 1 species
GAUGAACGCUGGCGGCGUGCCUAAUACAUGCAAGUCGAGCGAACGGACGAGAAGCUUGCUUCUCUGAUGUUAGCGGCGGACGGGUGAGUAACACGUGGAUAACCUACCUAUAAGACUGGGAUAACUUCGGGAAACCGGAGCUAAUACCGGAUAAUAUUUUGAACCGCAUGGUUCAAAAGUGAAAGACGGUCUUGCUGUCACUUAUAGAUGGAUCCGCGCUGCAUUAGCUGGUUGGUAAGGUAACGGCUUACCAAGGCAACGAUGCAUAGCCGACCUGGGAGGGUGAUCGGCCACACUGGAACUGAGACACGGUCCAGACUCCUACGGGAGGCAGCAGUAGGGAAUCUUCCGCAAUGGGCGAAAGCCUGACGGAGCAACGCCGCGUGAGUGAUGAAGGUCUUCGGAUCGUAAAACUCUGUUAUUAGGGAAGAACAUAUGUGUAAGUAACUGUGCACAUCUUGACGGUACCUAAUCAGAAAGCCACGGCUAACUACGUG